UUUGAGAAUAGGUUUUCGCAACAGAAGUUCUGCAAAUACACAGCCAACACUCCACAGAUCCACAGUCACCCCGUAGCUUGUGGAACCCAUGAGAAGCUCAGGAGGACGGUACCACAAUGUAACAACAUGACUGGUGGCAGUGCUCCAUUCCCGAUAAAAGCUGCUUCAUAUAACAUUUGACCUACAGGAGAAGAGCUCAAGUUCCAAAUUAACGAACACAAGAGAUGUUGGGAGCAUGUGACCUAUGGAAAAGAAGUCGACAAGAAGAAAGCCUGCAUACCUGGGCAUCACUGAACAUGAUCUGAGGAGAAGAUAUUAGCCCAGAAAGAUCAUGCUCCAUGUAUUCGAACACAAGAUACAUGCUAUUCGACAAUCGCGAAGUGAUUAUGCCCUCCAGUUUCAUAAUAUUUGGAUGAUCAAGCCUGCGGAGGAUUGAUAUUUCUCGUGCCAUAAAUUGAAUGCUCUCCGGUUGAAAAUUGUCGAACCGGACUUUUUUAAGAGCAACCAUCCUUCCAUUUGCCAACUCUCUUGCUCGGAAAACACUGCUGUAUGUGCCUUGUCCUAUCUAAUGCAAAGUUUGAAAUAUUAAAAGUUC